CAUCUCGCGAUUCCUUAGCAUCAUACUCUCUGUUGACACCCAUAUUUGAGAUUCACUAGCACUGGCUGGAUUAUGACUGUUGCUACUGUUGGUAUCCCAAAUCUGACUGAGUGAUUUGAUCACCUUGGUUUCGUUGUGAUUGUUUCCUCGAGCCUCUUCUGUUUCAGCUUGCUCUUUAGUAGCCGCCCAGCUUUCUGAGUUGACAAGAAGAACUUUUGCUCCUUCGUUGCCAACUCUUUGAAGCUCGUGACGGAAAGCCUGUCGUUUCUCUGGAGCUGCCUGCCAAAUUACAUAGCUCAUUACAUCACCAAGUAAGCGAAAUACAAUGUUUUUAUAGCAUGCAAAGAAAUUAAGAAAAACAAUUUAAUCUUCCACAUUAAAGGGUGCGUAAAUAAACCCAGAAGGGGCAAACCAAACCAAAAUCAGUAACCCUAAUUCCUAAACUCAUCAACAAAAUUUGUUUACAGUUUUUAAA